rnacentral:tRNA from 1 species
GUCUAUGUAGAUUAUUUGAAAUCAUGAUGCUGUUAACUUCAAGAAGAGGGUUACUCCGUAGUCG